rnacentral:rRNA from 1 species
GGAUUAGAUACCCUGGUAGUCCACGCUGUAAACGAUGAUUACUCGUUUUCGGCGAUAUACAGUCGGAGACUAAGCGAAAGUGAUAAGUAAUCCACCUGGGGAGUACGAUCGCAAGGUUGAAACUCAAAGGAAUUGACGGGGGCCCGCACAAGCGGUGGAGCAUGUGGUUUAAUUCGAUGAUACGCGAGGAACCUUACCAGGGCUUAAAUGCAAGUUGAAUGAUGUGGAAACAUGUCAGUCUUCGGACAAUUUGCAAGGUGCUGCAUGGCUGUCGUCAGCUCGUGCC